rnacentral:lncRNA from 1 species
GUUUUGAGCUUUUAUUCUUUUUAUUUUAGCUUUUUAUUUUUGACUAUGCAUUUUAUUGCAAUGUAGUGGUGUCUCCAAACUUGGUUUUGUUUUUUUGAUAUACCAUAUUUUUUUUGUUGAUUGAUUGAUUGAUUGAUUGAUUGAUUGAUUGAUUAAAAGUAGGCUCAGAAUGGCACAGAAGUGAGAGGGAGAAAAUUUUGUUUCCUGUAAGAGACGCAGUGAAGCCACAGGAAAGCUCACUGAAAACAGGUCCUGUUGGCACUGAACAAGAACUGUGAUGGCGAAAUGACUGAAACAGCUAGUUCAUGUUUGACUGAAGUUGUUGUCCCUUUAACACUUUGGCCACUAGGGGGCGUCGCAGACUAAUUUGAGCUCAGUCUGUUUCAACAGGCACCAGUGGCUGUCUUGGCUGUGCAACAGUCAUAUUCUUCAUAUCUGACAGACAGACAGCGAUCGGGACAGAGCUGUGUUCAGAGAGACCUCUCUUUUCUGGGAUCAAUCCCACACCUCAACUGCACAUCCUCCUCAAUAGCUGACAGAGUGCUGCAUGAUGCUCAAGCCUCAUCCUUUGGCAGUGCACACAUGGGACACAAGGAACAGAUGCAAGGAUGGACGUGAGGAUCCCACACACUGCCUAUUUACUAAAUAAGGUACAUAUAGCUUAAAUAAGAUGUCGUGCUAAUGCCUUUUCAUCGAUUAACUGUUGUUAUUCUGUGUGAUCAAACCAUGGAUAUGUGACUUAAACAGACUUAAACACUAAAAAUAUAAUCCAUGUGCCCAACCUUCCAGUUCUACAUAUUUCAUUAUCUGAACUGAGGGUCUAUGGUUAGAUUUGUUUAUCUUAUCUUAUUUUAGACGCUUGAGACAAAUUUGUGAUUUGUGAUGUUGGGCGAUAUGAAUUAGAUUGACUUGAC